GAAAUUGGAAUAAAACUUGUGACCAACUCUGAGGUGAAGAAACCAGCCGCCUGUUUGUACCCUCAAUAUCAGCAUUCUGAUAUGGAAUAUGAUGUGAAAUAUAUGCUAUAUGAUGCAGUUGUUCAAGGAUCCGACUCAUCAACUCACUUGAAGCCCAUGAAAAAAAAACGGGAAAAAAUUAAAACUGUGAGAAGCUACUUCCCUGACACCUGGAUCUGGGAGCUGAUCCCUGUCGGAGACAGCGGGUCGGUGAGCGUGGUGAAGACGCUCCCUGACACCAUCACCAGCUGGCGGGCCCAGGCCUUCUGCACCUCCUCCUCCCUGGGCCGGCCUGUCCCGGGACACGGCGCUGGUGGCCUUCCAGCCCUUCUUCGUCAGCCUGACGCUGCCCUACUCGGUGGUCCGAGGGGAGGUGUUCACGCUCAGAGCCACCGUCUUCAACUACCUCCCUAGCUGCAUCAUGGUCAGGGUCCAGAUGAGCAACUCUCGUCCCACUUCUCCCCUCAGAGAGUGUGCGGACUGCCAGUACACCAUGUGUGUGUGUGCAGAGGAGAGCAGGGUUUUCCAGUGGGAGGUCAGCCCCUCCUCCCUUGGUAGGACCUAAUGACCUGCUCCUUAUGCCCUUAACACCGCAGGAAACUCUCCUCCUUCAUGGAAGGACAAUCAUAUCAAUAUAAUACAAU
ensembl:lncRNA